UGUUUCUUGAAUAAAUUAUGAGAAAUAAAGCCUGCCCACUGAUUAAUUUAAAUGGCCGCAGUAACUUGACUGUGCGAAGGUAGCAUAAUCAAUAGUCUUUUAAUUGAAGUCUGGAAUGAAUGGUUUUAUGAAAGGUUAGCUGUUUCUAUAGGAAUAGUGAAUUUUUAUGUUAGGUGAAGAUACUUAAAUGUCUUUAAAAGACGAGAAGACCCCAUCAAGUUUUAUAUUUAAUUAGACUUUAUGAAAUUUAUGUCUAAAAUUAUAUUUAGUUGGGGCAAUUGUUAAAUAGGAAAAACUUUAGGAAUUAGUAAUAUUAUUGAGUAGAAAUGGUUAUGAUCCAAGUGUUUGAUAGUUAGAAAAAAUUACUGUGGGGAUAACAGCGUAAUGUUACCUUAGAGUUCUUAUCGAUGGUAACGAUUGCGACCUCGAUGUUGGAUUAAGAUUCCCUCUAGGUGUAGCCUUUUAGUAGGGUGGUCUGUUCGACCAUUAAAUUCUUACA
rnacentral:rRNA from 1 species